rnacentral:rRNA from 1 species
UACGAAGGGGGCUAGCGUUGUUCGGAUUUACUGGGCGUAAAGCGCACGUAGGCGGAUCGUUAAGUCGGGGGUGAAAUCCUGGAGCUCAACUCCAGAACUGCCUUCGAUACUGGCGAUCUUGAGUCCGGAAGAGGUGAGUGGAACUCCUAGUGUAGAGUUGGAAUUCGUAGAUAUUAGGAAGAACACCAGUGGCGAAGGCGGCUCACUGGUCCGGUACUGACGCUGAGGUGCGAAAGCGUGGGGAGCAAACAGG